rnacentral:tRNA from 1 species
GUGGAUUGUGGCUCAGCGGCAGAGCACUUGCCUAGCAUGUGCAAGGCCCUGGGUUCAAUCCUCAGCACCACA